UCUCACAACAGGGAAUUAGACAUCCAUACACUCCCACACAAUGGCCCGCUGCUUUUAAUUACACUAAUACAAGUCAACCAAGCAUACAGACAAGGAGGGAGUCAUAAAGCACACAGUAAGAACAAAGAGGGCUGAGAAGAACACAAAAAUAGCUGCUUGAGAGAUGAUUAAGGCAGAAACACUGACAGAGUAAAGUUAAAAAGCAAACAGGACAAACAAAGAGACAAAUAUAAACAAACAAGAAGAACUCUUAACGCUGUGAGGCUCCUUGUUGCAUCAAUCUGAGCGCAGGCUCUGGGAGACAUCACCCGCUGUCACUUCUCCGGCUCUUAUCAGACCAAUAACAACAUCAUACUGCUCAGCAGCAGCCGCUACAUACCGAGCCACUCCGUGGAAAGUGUCUGCUGCUCAGAGCUGAGAUCAGAGAGGAUCUGAGGCUGCUGGUCUUUUCAGAUCCAACGGCCUUUUUUGCCUUGCCAGCAUUAAAACUACACCUCUCUUCCAGGAACAACACUGCAACAAGAGAUGAUGUGUAAAUAUUACCCCCGUCUGAACCGCGGAGAUGCAGAAGAUCACCUAUAAGAUUACCUCUGGUCUUAAAAACAUCUUGGUGACACAACAAUGGAUUUGCCACAACCUUCAUAGUUUGAUGUUUUUCCCCACAGAUGAUGAAACUGUCUACAAUGAUCACCAGUGAUUUAUGUAACGAGCCAGUCGGUGUGCGGUAGCACUGGAAGAGCUGCAGAAAUCCAUGACUCAGGCACUUCAGGACUGCAGAGACUCUCCUGCUCCUCCCUCUGCCAGACGUCUCAUCCCCUCGUGCAACUCUCAACGUCUUAGUUUGCACCUCCUCCUGGAAGGAACCCUGGCUCCUGUCUUUCAUCUCAACGCCUCCCUAUGUGCAUGCACUGCAGUAAUAAUGAUGUAUCAGUGAGCACUUACCCUAAAUGAGUGAUGACAUGUAAUUAGAUGAUGAUUUCUGGGAAUAAAUGUUGACUACUUUAA